rnacentral:rRNA from 1 species
CACAUGCAGUCGAGGGGCAUCACGGAAAAGCUUGCUUUUCUGGUGGCGACCGGCGCACGGGUGCGGAACGCGUAUGGAACCUGCCCCUGUCAGGGGAAUAGCCCAGGGAAACUUGGAUUAAUGCCCCAUGGUACCGUUAUAUCGCAUGAUAUUGCGGUUAAAGAUUUAUCGGACAGGGAUGGCCAUGCGUACCAUUAGUUAGUUGGUGGGGUAACGGCCCACCAAGGCAGCGAUGGUUAGGGGCCCUGAGAGGGGGAUCCCCCACACUGGUACUGAGACACGGACCAGACUCCUACGGGAGGCAGCAGUGAGGAAUAUUGGACAAUGGGCGGGAGCCUGAUCCAGCCAUGCCGCGUGCAGGAUGACGGCCCUAUGGGUUGUAAACUGCUUUUAUACGGGAAGAAAUGCGCCCACGUGUGGGCGUCUGACGGUACCGUAAGAAUAAGGACCGGCUAACUCCGUGCCAGCAGCCGCGGUAAUACGGAGGGUCCGAGCGUUAUCCGGAAUCAUUGGGUUUAAAGGGUCCGUAGGCGGGCCUGUAAGUCAGGGGUGAAAGUUUGUGGCUCAACCAUAAAAUUGCCUUUGAUACUGCAGGUCUUGAGUCAUGGUGGGGUCGCCGGAACAUGUGGUGUAGCGGUGAAAUGCAUAGAUAUCACAUAGAACACCGAUCGCGAAGGCAGGUGGCCAACCAUGUACUGACGCUGAUGGACGAAAGCGUGGGUAGCGAACGGGAUUAGAUACCCCGGUAGUCCACGCCGUAAACGAUGGAUACUAGCUGUGGGGACUUCGGUCUCCGUGGC